AGGCUGGAGUAUUUUAUUACCCUUGUCUUUUGCGCACUUGUUGUUUCCUGGGCGGGUUCGCCCGCCUCCAGGACCACAUGAUAAACCUUUUUUAUGCAGUUGCAAUCAGCGUCAGUACAACAAAUGUAAAUCAUUUACAAUACAACAAAUGUAAAUCAUUGACAACUUUCAACAUGAAGAACGCAGCGAAAUGCGAUACGUAGUGUGAAUUGCAGAAUUCAGUGAAUCAUCGAAUCUUUGAACGCACAUUGCGCCCUUUGGUAUUCCAAAGGGCAUGCCUGUUCGAGCGUCAUUUGUACCCUCAAGCUUUGCUUGGUGUUGGGCGUUUUUUGUCUUUGGUUUUGUCCAAAGACUCGCCUUAAAACGAUUGGCAGCCGGCCUACUGGUUUCGCAGCGCAGCACAUUUUUGCGCUUGCAAUCAGCAAAAGAGGACGGCACUCCAUCAAGACUCUAUAUCACUUUUGACCUCGGAUCAGGUAGGGAUACCCGCUGAACUUAAGCAUAUCAA
rnacentral:rRNA from 1 species